rnacentral:rRNA from 1 species
UACGGAGGGGGCUAGCGUUGUUCGGAAUUACUGGGCGUAAAGCGCGCGUAGGCGGCUUUGCAAGUUAGAGGUGAAAGCCUGGAGCUUAACUCCAGAACUGCCUUUAAAACUGCAUCGCUAGAAUCGUGGAGAGGUGAGUGGAAUUCCGAGUGUAGAGGUGAAAUUCGUAGAUAUUCGGAAGAACACCAGUGGCGAAGGCGGCUCACUGGCCCGGUACUGACGCUGAGGUGCGAAAGCGUGGGGAGCAAACAGG